rnacentral:sRNA from 1 species
GCUGGGCACAGUGGCACAUGCCUGUAAUCCCAGCAACUCAGGAGACUGAGGCAGGAGGAUCACAAGUUCAAAGCCAGCCUCGGGAACUUGAUGAGGCCCUGAGCAACUUAGUGAAACCCUGUCUCAA